rnacentral:rRNA from 1 species
GCGUGGGUGAAGAAGGCCUUAGGGUUGUAAAACCCUUUCAGCGGGGAAGAUAAUGACGGUACCCGCAGAAGAAGCUCCGGCUAACUCCGUGCCAGCAGCCGCGGUAAUACGGAGGGGGCUAGCGUUGUUCGGAAUUACUGGGCGUAAAGCGCACGUAGGCGGCUUUGCAAGUUGGGGGUGAAAGCCCGAGGCUUAACCUCGGAAUUGCCUUCAAAACUGCAUCGCUCGAGUCCGGGAGAGGUAAGCGGAAUUCCUAGUGUAGAGGUGAAAUUCGU